UUAUUACGGAAACGAAUAAACACUUGCUAGAGAGCAGGUCUGUGUUGGGUGUGAAGAAACCAGGAAUCAAGUUGAAAACAUGUCAUGGGGGAAAACCCCAUAUUCCCUGUAAGAUGAAGGUUUCCAAAAAAUCCAAAAUGCCAAGAAGGCCUAAGAAGGUGCAUAUGAAGGUGCUGGUAGGAAAGGGAAAGGUGCAACCGAGGCAUACG
rnacentral:lncRNA from 1 species